rnacentral:rRNA from 1 species
UACAGAGGUCUCAAGCGUUGUUCGGAUUCAUUGGGCGUAAAGGGUGCGUAGGCGGCGCGGUAAAUCGGGUGUGAAAUCUCGGAGCUUAACUCCGAAACUGCAUUCGAUACUGCCGUGCUUGAGGACUGGAGAGGAGACUGGAAUUUACGGUGUAGCGGUGAAAUGCGUAGAUAUCGUAAGGAAGACCAGUGGCGAAGGCGGGUCUCUGGACAGUUCCUGACGCUGAGGCACGAAGGUCAGGGGAGCAAACGGG